rnacentral:rRNA from 1 species
UAUGUGAUCGUCUCUCGCAUAUCAAUAAGCGGAGGAAAAGAAACUAACAAGGAUUCCCCUAGUAACGGCGAGUGAAGCGGGAAGAGCUCAAAUUUGAAAUCUUAAAGGGUUUCCCUUUACGAAUUGUAGUUUAAAGAAGUGUUUUCUGUUGAGGUUUUGGUAAAAGUUCUUUGGAAUAGGACAUCAUAGAGGGUGAGAAUCCCGUAUUUGACCUUUACUUUCAACUUUGUGAUACACUUUCAAAGAGUCGGAUUGUUUGGGAAUGCAGUCCAAAAUGGGUGGUAAAUCUCAUCUAAAGCUAAAUAUUGGCGAGAGACCGAUAGCGAACAAGUACCGUGAGGGAAAGAUGAAAAGAACUUUGAAAAGAGAGUUAAACAGUACGUGAAAUUGUCAAAAGGGAAGCGUUUGACACCAGUGUUGUUUUUCUGAAAAUCAAUUAAAGAACUGUUUAUGCUAAGUUGUUUAGACUUUAUCAGCUAUCUGCUUAGUUUUGAGCUUUUCUUUAAUGCACUUUUCAGUUAACAAGUCAACAUCAAUUUCUUUUGCUGUAAAAAAGCUUGAGGAAGGUGGCUUGAGAUUCGUCUUAAGUGUUUAUAGCCUCUUGCCUAUGCAGUCGGAGAGAUUGAGGUCUGCAGCGUAGAUCCUUCGGGGCUAAAUGCAUUUGUGCUAAGUUAUAGCAUUUUAUAGACAACUUGUUGACUAUGAUUUGUCUUGUAGCUUACUCGCUUAUGUUAUUUUACCUACGCUUAGGAUGUUGACGAGACUGUCGAUCUC